rnacentral:misc_RNA from 1 species
AUUUUUCUAUCAUGAUAUAUCUACAUGACUGCAUUGAAUUUAUGCUAUUUGUUUUGGUUCCUUACACUAUAGUGUUAUAGAAGCUGGAUUCCUAUAGGAAAUAUGAUUAGUUCCUCUUGAAAGUAAAUGCAAUUUCUUCCAUUCCCAACAGCAAUAUUAAUCUUGGUUUUCUUAUCAGCAUGAGCUGUUUUUUAAUUUAUCGAGUGAUGAUAAGAUAUGCUUAUGUGACCAAUGAAGUAGAUGAUGAUUAAAACCUAAAAUGACUUUGAUGAUUCCAAAUAAAGAAAGUAAAGCUUGUAUGCAGAAGGUGCAUUUAACAUGGUGGAAGCUUCUGAUAUUCGUGCUUGUGGCAGUUAAGAUUCUGAGGCAUGUAAUCAUGUAUAUUACCCUUUAAAAAUGAAUUCAGUUAUGAAAUGUCAUUAUGGCAAUAAUUUGAUCAAGUGAACAUGAAAGAAUUGAGUUUCACCAUCUAGAGACGUUAGAUUAGUUGAUAAUAAAUUUAAUAUUUU